AUGAACGCUAGCGACAGGCCUAACACAUGCAAGUCAGGGGCAGCACAAGGAGCAAUCUGAGGUGGCGACCGGCGCACGGGUGAGUAACACGUAUGCAACCUGCCUGUAAGCGGGGAAUAACCCGUUGAAAGACGGACUAAUACCGCAUAAUACUAAAUUACUGCAUGGUAAUUUAUUUAAACAUUUUAUGGCUUACAGAUGGGCAUGUGCAUGAUUAGCUAGUUGGAGAGGUAACGGCUCCCCAAGGCAACGAUCAUUAGGGGUUCUGAGAGGAAGGUCCCCCACACUGGUACUGAGACACGGACCAGACUCCUACGGGAGGCAGCAGUGAGGAAUAUUGGUCAAUGGACGAGAGUCUGAACCAGCCAAGUCGCGUGCAGGAAGAAUGUCCUUAAUGGAUUGUAAACUGCUUUUUGCAGGGGAAUAAAGUGCAUCACGUGUGAUGUUUUGUAUGUACUCUGCGAAUAAGGAUCGGCUAACUCCGUGCCAGCAGCAGC
rnacentral:rRNA from 1 species